GGACGCUUAGCUCAGCUGGUUAGAGCACCUCAUUUACACUGAGGGGGUCUGGGGUUCGAAUCCCUAAGCGUCCA
rnacentral:tRNA from 1 species